rnacentral:tRNA from 1 species
AUCUUAGUAGCUUAAACUCCUAAAUAAAGCAUUAGACUUGUAAACUAAAGACGGGCCGCCCCUAAGAUC